GACGAACGCUGGCGGCGUGCUUAACACAUGCAAGUCAAGGGGGCCCGCAAGGGUAACCGGCGAACGGGUGCGUAACACGUGAGCAAUCUGCCUAGAUGUGGGGGAUAGCCGGCCCAACGGCCGGGUAAUACCGCAUACGCUCGUCGACUGGCAUCAGUUGACGAGGAAACUUUCGAGGCAUCUAGAGGAGCUCGCGGCCUAUCAGCUAGUUGGUGGGGUAACGGCCUACCAAGGCGGUGACGGGUAGCUGGUCUGAGAGGAUGGCCAGCCACAUUGGGACUGAGAUACGGCCCAGACUCCUACGGGAGGCAGCAGUGGGGAAUAUUGCGCAAUGGUCGAAAGGCUGACGCAGCGACGCCGCGUGGGGGAUGAAGCAUUUCGGUGUGUAAACCCCUGUUGCUCGGGACGAACAAGCCUUUUCGAGGGCUCUGACGGUACCGAGUGAGGAAGCACCGGCUAACUCCGUGCCAGCAGCCGCGGUAAU
rnacentral:rRNA from 1 species